rnacentral:rRNA from 1 species
UUUCGCAAUGCCCGAAAGGGUGACGAAGCGACGCCGCGUGAGUGAGGAAGGCCUUCGGGUUGUAAAGCUCUGUCAGGAGUUAAGAAAUAUAAGUGUGUUAAUACCACAUUUAUUUGACGAAGGCUCCAAAGGAAGCCACGGCUAACUCUGUGCCAGCAGCCGCGGUAAUACAGAGGUGGCAAGCGUUGUUCGGAAUUAUUGGGCGUAAAGAGCACGUAGGUGGGUUUGUAAGUCAGAUGUGAAAGCCUUCUGUUCAACGGAAGAAUUGCAUCUGAAACUGUGAGUCUUGAGUGUAGGAGGGGAGAAUGGAACUUCUGGUGGAGCGGUGAAAUGCGUAGAUAUCAGAAGGAACGCCGGCGGCGAAAGCGAUUCUCUGGCCUAUUACUGACACUCAGUGUGCGAAAGCUAGGGGAGCAAACGGGAUUAGAUACCCCGGUAGUCCUAGCUGUAAACGAUGGGCACUAAGUAGAGGGGUUUUA